rnacentral:rRNA from 1 species
CCUGGAGACAGGGAGCAGCCCGCCGGUGGCCAACUAAACUCUUGUUUCUAUAGUGAAUCUCUGAGUAAAAAACAUAAAUGAAUCAAAACUUUCAACAACGGAUCUCUUGGUUCUGGCAUCGAUGAAGAACGCAGCGAAAUGCGAUAAGUAAUGUGAAUUGCAGAAUUCAGUGAAUCAUCGAAUCUUUGAACGCACAUUGCGCCCUCUGGUAUUCCGGAGGGCAUGCCUGUUCGAGSGUCAUUUCAACCCUCAAGCCUGGCUUGGUGAUGGGGCACUGCCUGUAAAAGGGCAGGCCCUGAAAUCUAGCGGCGAGCUCGCCAGGACCCCGAGCGUAGUAGUUAUAUCUCGCUUURRAAGGCCCUGGCGGUGCCCUGCCGUUAAACCCCCAACUUCUGAAAAUUG